GAGGAGCUACUGUUCUGUGUCCAUAGCAACAAAAUAAACAAACUUUGGCCUGCCAUCUCCCAAGGGCAAACCUCACAACUCAGGCCCAAGUCACAGGAAUCUGAAUGGUGGGGUGACCUUCUCCUCUAGUUUAAUUUCAUUGCAAUACUGAGAAACUUCAAGUGUUUUGUCUUUAGAAGGGAAAUCCAUGUUUGUGCCAGGCCAGCCUUUGUAAAAGCCUUUGACUGGAUUCACUAGAAGUCUGUCUUCCCGCAGUACAUAUACUGUGAAUUUUCUGCUUCGGCAUUUCAACCACUUGGAAUGGCCACUAAAGUCUUGAGUUCUGGAACCUCUGGAUUUGAUCUAAAGUAAACUCUGAUUCUGUGUCGAUGGGGAACCAUUUCUCUCUAACAUGGUGGUUUCUUUAAGAUGUUUGACUUGGGCCACAUGAGAAUAACAGAUCUUUGGGCAGUCCAAGCAAGAGCCUCCUGAUCUAGCAGCCAAGACUCCCCCUGACCUUUGGCCAUGUACCCCAACCCUCUCAUCUAUUGCACCUGCUGGGACCCCUGGAACUUGGGACCACGGAAGCUAAUCAAGACCCCUCAACUACCACGCAAGAACUCCACAGGGAGUUCCAAGCUAACUCCUCUUCUACCAGCUCCAAAAAAUCACAAUUACCUCCAACCAACAAAACCUGUUGUUUCCCCAAAAAUGAAAAUCCAUUCAGCAAGGCAAGAAGAGACCAAUAAAUCAUUUUAUGAAGUGAUCAACGUGUCACCUGGCUAUCAACUUGUUCGGAAUCGGGAACAGAUUUCUGUCACCUUAGGGGAUGAGAUGUUUGAUAGGAAAAAGCGGUGGGAAUCGGAGAUCCCGGACAAAGGCAGAUUUUCCAGGACCAACAUCAUUUCUGACCUAGAAGAGCAAAUCUCAGAGCUGACAGCAAUAAUUGAACAAAUAAACAGAGACCACCAGUCUGCCCAGAAAUUGCUCUCCAGUGAAAUGGAUCUCCGCUGUGCUGAGAUGAAACAGAACUUUGAAAACAAGAACAGGGAGCUCAAAGAGGCCCAUGAAGCAGAACUCAGUGAGUUGGAGAACAACUACAAAGCAGCCUUGAAGGCAGAGAAGUUGGCUGCCCAAGAGAAGCUAGAGGAGAUGGGAAAAGAAUACAAGUAUUUGAAGAAUAUGUUUCGUACGUAUCAGGACAGUAUUUAUGAUGAAAUGGAAGAGAAGUGGUCAAAACAGAAGGCGAAAUGGAAGAAGGAUGAGAAGUUCGAGCGAGAAAAUAUCCUGCUACAGCAAAAAAAAAAGAUGACCAAAAAAUUCGAAUUGGAGUCAGGAGAAGAAGAUAAGAAAAUAAGUGAAUCCUGCAGUGCUGUCUUUGAGAACUUCAUUCAAGAGAAGGAGGAGCUCUUGAAACAACAUCAAAGUGACACCUUGCAAUUAGAAGAGCUGAGAAAAACCAAAGAGGUCAUGGAGGAAGAAUUGCAUGCACAAGCCCUUAUCCUAGAGUCACUGAACACAAACCUCUACUAUACCCAGUUGGAACUCCAGAAAGAGAAAGCUAUAGUGGGAAAUCUGGAGAAAAUGCUUCAAACCAAGUUUGCUGAAGCUGAAGAAAAGUAUAAGCACACCAUACAGAUCCUGACGGAAGAGAACAUUCAUCUGAAGUGCGGCUGCUGCUGAAAAAGACAUAGCUGAGUUCUCUUUAGGAGUGGGAAGGAGUUUGAAUGAGGAAUGGGUUAGGAAGAUAGACCAACUGCUCCCUAGUUAUGUCAAGGCACAGGUGUUUUCGGGAGGGAGGCAAAAGAUAAUUUCUAAGAAUGAAGAAAUUUGUGAAGGAUGUUCUGGGAGAUUGGUCUCUAUUACUGUUUCUAAGGAUGAUUCUGACACUGUGCAAGAUGGUAGCAAGAAAGGACAAGAAUCAUAAACAAAAAGUUGCUCUGCAUUGUUGAAGAUGGUUGGCACACCAUUUCUGUAGGCCCAGGAAACUCCUGGGAGGGUUUUCUUGAGAAAAUGCAUAUAAUGAGUUUAGUUCUUGGGUUGCUCUGACUCUCUGAAUGGCUGAAAAUGUUUGAAUUCUCAUCUGAAUUUCGCAGCUUAUCACGGACUCUUCAUUGAAAAAUGAUGCUCUCCACACUGGGAGCUGAGCUUUCUCUGA